rnacentral:rRNA from 1 species
CAGAACGAACGCUGGCGGCGCGUCUUAAGCAUGCAAGUCGAGCGGUAAGGCGCAGCAAUGCGUCCUAGAGCGGCGGACUGGUGAGUAACGCGUGGGCGACCUGCCUUUCGGUUGGGGAUAGCCGUUAGAAAUAGCGGGUAAUACCGGAUACGGUUGGCGGCGUAAGUGCCGUCAAAGAAAGGGGCUUAGGCUCCGCCGGGGGAUGGGCCCGCGUCCCAUUAGUUAGUUGGAGGGGUAAAGGCCUGCCAAGACGAUGAUGGGUAGCCGGCCUGAGAGGGUGGACGGCCACACUGGGACUGAGAUACGGCCCAGACUCCUACGGGAGGCAGCAGCUAAGAAUAUUCCGCAAUGGGCGAAAGCCUGACGGAGCGACGCCGCGUGGAUGAGGAAGGCCGAAAGGUUGUAAAAUCCUUUUAUUGGCGAAGAAUAAGGUGGGGAGGGAAUGCCCUAUUGAUGACGUAGCCGAUGAAUA